rnacentral:lncRNA from 1 species
GAGGGAGUCUGCUUCUCCUUCUGCCUAUGUCUCUGCCUCUCUCUCUGUGUGUCUCAUGAAAAAAUAAAUAAAAUCUUUCUUUUUUUAAAAAAAGAUAUAGGGACGCCUGAGUGGCUCAGCAGUUGAGCGUCUGCCUUCGGCUCAGGGCAUGAUCCUGGAGUCCUGGGAUCAAGUCCCACAUGGGGCUCCCUGCAUGGAGCCUGCUUCUCCCUCUGUCUGUGGCUCUGCCUCUCUCUGUGUCUCUCAUGAAAAAAUAAAAUCUUUAAAAAAAUAAUAAAAAACAUUCAGACUUAUUUAAAAAUAAAAAAUAAAAAAAAAGAUAUAGCAAGAGUCCUAAUCUCACAGUAUUGAGAGAGAUGGGUGGGCACUGGUACAGUGGUUAUAGAUAUUAUAACAGGCACAAAGGACUCAUUAAAGAUUAGCUGUCAAAAAAAAAAAAGUUUGCAAACCUGAGACUUCUAGGCCAUGGUGUGUAUUUACCAUUGAUGUUUCUGCUUAAAUACCACCUCCUCUGAGAGAACUUCCCUGACCCCCGAUUGGAAUGUCUCACACACAGAUGCUCUCUCAUACCACAUGUGGCAUACACUGAAAUGAUCUUGCUUACUUAUUUGCCCCCACCCACGCUUGUUCACGUCAAUGGCUCUAGGGCCUGUAUACAGGCGCCUGCAUGUGGUCAGGAACAAAACCAAUGCAUUACAAGUUUCCAACAGAUGGAAGGAAUGUAUCCCAAGGAAGCAGCAUCGUCUUCAAAUUCCCCGAAAGAAGUACAAGGGCAGGUGGCAAUAGUCUCACUUCUGGAAGGAUGUAGCUGGUGAAGGAGGUAACAAUCAUUAUGCCCUUGGGGAAAAUGCGGUGGGUAAUCUGGGCACUUAACUUGUUUCUCCGUUAAAGAGGAGAUGCCAGGGGGCAACUGGGUGGCUCAGUGGUUGAGGUCUGCCUUUGGCUCAGGGCAUGAUCCCGGGGUCCUAUAGGGAGCCCGCUUCUCCCUCUGCCUAUGUCUCUGCCUCUCUCUGUGUCUCUCAUGAAUAAAUAACUUUUUUUUUUUUUUAAAGAGGAGAUGCCAAGAAGAUGUAAGUGGUCUCCACAUGUUGUCUGAUCAAGCCACAUUCAUGAGGCCCAAUUCUACUUCCCAAACAGAGCACCAAGUGUUUCCUUUGACACCAGCCAUAAAAAUCACACCUGAAAUUGGGGUGCCU